UCUCGAUAGCGUAAAAGUAACUCAGAUUUGUAUACAGUUAAAACGUUUGCCUAAGUUUGCCGCUAGGGGCGCUGUUCCAACUGCAUACAAAUUAGAGUUAACUUUUACGAUAUCGA
rnacentral:pre_miRNA from 9 species